rnacentral:ncRNA from 2 species
CGAUGAGGUAGAGGUUGCGGCUUUUAAGAGUAAAGCGGAUGAGACACAGAGAAUGUCUAUGACCCCGUUUGAAAGGAAAAGUUGCCGAAGUUUAUAUUUCUUCUCUGGGAAUAUAAGUUGGGGCUGUCUCCGAAUAGGAACAGAACUGUCACGUUUACAAAAUACCGUGUAAACGUGGGGUGCUAUCUUAACG